rnacentral:rRNA from 1 species
GACGAACGCUGGCGGCGUGCUUAACACAUGCAAGUCGAGCGGUAAGGCCCUUUCGGGGGUACACGAGCGGCGAACGGGUGAGUAACACGUGGGUGACCUGCCCUCAGCUCUGGGAUAAGCCUGGGAAGGCUGGGGUCUAAUACUGGAUAUGACUCCACGGUGCAUGUCGUGGGGUGGAAAGCCUUGUGCGGCUGAGGAUGGGCCCGCGGCCUAUCAGCUUGUUGGUGGGGUGAUGGCCUACCAAGGCGACGACGGGUAGCCGGCCUGAGAGGGCGACCGGCCACACUGGGACUGAGACACGGCCCAGACUCCUACGGGAGGCAGCAGUGGGGAAUCUUGCGCAAUGGGCGAAAGCCUGACGCAGCGACGCCGCGUGAGGGAUGACGGCCU